CUUUUUCUGUCUGUAUACCUUUCAUUUACUUUUUCCAUCUUAUUGAUCUGUUGAAAACUCUAGUGUUGAAUGGAGGUGAUCAGAAUAAGUACAUUUGUUUCUUCCCAGUCUUGGAGGCAAAGAUUUCAGUGUUUUAUCAUUGAGUACAGCAUUUGUUAUAGGUUUUGUUGAAUAUUUUUAGGCAUAUUUUUAUUAAUUUCUAUAAAAAUAAUAUAUUUUAUCAGAUUUUAAGUUUCUAUACCUAGUUUACUGUUUUUAAGUCAGUACCCAUAAUAAUUUAAUGCUUUUCUCUCUUUUGCUGUUAGUAAUGACUUACAUUAAUUCAUUUUUCUAUUAAUUUUUUUCUUUUAUUUAAAGCCAUAAAUUGCCAUUCUUCCCAUGUCUAGUAAUUUUUAUUGGAAUACUGGACACUACAAAUGCCAUGUUGUUGAAUGUUUGGAUUUUGUUUUCUUCCUUUAAAGAGUGUUGAAGUUUGUUUGGGCAGGUAGUUACUUGUGGAUCAGAUCUGUGGGUUUUAUUAAGCUUUUUAUGCUUAAGUUGUGACCCAUCUGUGAUCCCUGUUGGAUGCCCCAGGUUUUCAAUGAAGUGUCUCUAGUAGGGGUGGUUUACAUGUAAAUAUUUCCUCAUCUUGUGUGAGCUCUGAGAAUUGUAUAGCUUUUCACUGGCAUUCCUUGAUUGACUUCUGGAGUUUUAUCCCAUGCACUAACCAAGAUUUGAGAGGAUGCCUCUUCAGAUUUCCAGAGCUCUUUCUGUGUAAAAUACUCCCUUUUCAGUUAACUCUGUCUCGUAAAUUCUAGCCAGUUCAGCCCUCCUCAACCUUCUAAUCCCUCAAAUUUGGUGAAACAGCUAGCCUUCUACUUGAGUUCUCCUUUACUAUGCUGCUGACUGGAAAUCGCAUCCAAGCAAAAAGCCAGGACAGUUACAGGACUCACCUUGCUUAUUCCUUUUUGUUCAGUGAUGAGACCUGUUUUCCUAUGGUUCUGUGUCUGAAAAUAGUUGAUUCACAUAUCUUGUAUAGUUUUCUAGUUGAUUAUAGUGGGAUGAUAGAUUACUACUUUAUGAGCAGCAUUAGUUUUUCAUAUAUUAAAGCAAGUUUAUAUUUCUAAUCUUCUAAAAAUAAUUUCUAUAUUUUUUGAUAAUAUUUUGUUAGGAUUCUUGCAUUUAUGUCUUGAGAUUGGUCUAUAACAAUAAUUACAUUUGAGUAAUUUAUAAUUAUAAUGAUUAAUACAUAAUAUACUAUAUUAUAUUAAUAAUGCUAAAGUAUUGAUUAUUAAAUAAUUGUUACUACUAAGUAAUAAUUAUUACUUAUUGUCUGGUUAUCAAGAUUAUGCUGAC
rnacentral:lncRNA from 1 species